rnacentral:lncRNA from 1 species
AGGCAAUCAAGCAAAUCUUUCUUUAUGCCAGCAAAGUCCAAAAGUUAUCAUCAGCACCUUUAGGUCAGUGGUAUCCUAAGGGAAUUCAGAUAAAUCUCUGGGAUACUCUAUUUUCUUCCUUUUUGCCUGAGAAGAACAGCAGCCAGCAACUGUAGUGCAAACCCAAUACUUUCUUCAGACAGAAACGUGACUCUCAGACAUCAAGCAAAUCUGAAGUCUGGUAUUAUCAGACUUACCUCAUUACAACUUUGUCAAUUACCUUUUUUCAUGUAGCUGGCAGUGACGAGAGAUUUCUUGUGCAGAGAAUGCAAAGCUCAAAGAAGCUGAUAUGUUGUGAGAACUAGGGAGCCAGCCAGCUGAGAAGGUGACAAUGAAAACACUGGGGAGAAACAUGUGACUUCCCACUUUUACUUGACUGCAUACCAACUCUCAUCAGAAGUUUCCCUAACCUCUUUUGGAAGAUGAGGGGUGAAUUAUGUGCAUGACCAUUGUUGCUUCCAGUCUUUUUUUGUCUCUGGACUGGUUCCUGGUUCCUGCUUUAAGACGAGAACUCACCUCCCUGGCUCUGGUAAGUCUCCUCCACUCACCAAAGCAAUGCUUCACUCUCUCUCAAUAUUAGUAGUGAAGUUCUGUGCCUCCAUGCAAAUUUC